rnacentral:rRNA from 1 species
AACGAACGCUGGCGGCAGGCCUAACACAUGCAAGUCGAGCGCCCCGCAAGGGGAGCGGCGCACGGGUGAGUAACGCGUGGGAAUAUGCCCUGGGGCUGGGGAUAACGGUGGGAAACUGCCGCUAAUACCCGGUACGCCUUGAGAGGGAAAGGAGCAAUCCGCCCUGGGAGUAGCCCGCGUUGGAUUAGCUAGUUGGUGAGGUAAGAGCUCACCAAGGCGACGAUCCAUAGCUGGUCUGAGAGGAUGAUCAGCCACACUGGGACUGAGACACGGCCCAGACUCCUACGGGAGGCAGCAGUGGGGAAUAUUGGACAAUGGGGGCAACCCUGAUCCAGCCAUGCCGCGUGAGUGAAGAAGGCCUUAGGGUUGUAAAGCUCUUUCGGCGGGGACGAUGAUGACGGUACCCGCAGAAGAAGCCCCGGCUAACUUCGUGCCAGCAGCCGCGGUAAU